rnacentral:tRNA from 1 species
AAGGUAUUAGUUAAAAUAUAACAUUAAAAUGUCAAUUUAAAAUAACUAAAAUAUAGUAUACCUUG